rnacentral:lncRNA from 1 species
UGCCCAUAGUUUGGGACCUCUGCUGUACCUUUUCCGUUUUCCUUCCACAACACAGGUUCCUCGACCUCUGCUUUCAAGCCUUCCUGCCGCCUUGGGCUGGCCACCGUGGGCCCGAGGCACUCCGUGGGCAUGAACCACGGACACCCAGGGUCGCCUGGCCCCAUGCAUCUGCGGUGGGGAGGCACUUUGGCCCAUGGAAGAGACCUCUGCCUCACCAUUUGUUUUCCUUCCACACCACAGGUGACUUGACCUCCUCUUUCAAGACUUCCUGCCACCUUGAGCUGGUCCCCGUAUGCCCAGGCACUCCUUAGGCAUGAGCCAGGGACACCCAGGGUCCCCAUGGCUCCGUGCCUCCACCUCACAUUUCAAGCAUUCCUGCCGCCUUGGGCUGGCACCCGUGGACCUGAGGCACUCCCUGGGCACCAAUCAGGGACAUACAGGGUCCUCUUUGCCCCAUGCAUGCACGGUAGGUAGGCAAUUUCGCCCGUAGGAAGGGACCUCUGUCUCACCCUUUGCGUUUUCCUUCCACAACACAGGUGCCUCGACCUCCCCUUUCUAGCCUUCCUGCAGCCUUGGGCUGUCCUGCAUGUGAUG